rnacentral:lncRNA from 1 species
CAACACUUACGUCCAUUGAUACAAGCACAGACAACUACUGACCCCAUAAGUCACAACUUUUUUUAUCUUUUAGCUUGUGAUGCAUCACUAGAGCUUCUACUUUCACCAGGUUCUGGUCCAUCAUGGCCAUCAUUACCUUGCUUAAGCACGAUCCCUUCCACCCCUAAUUUGUCCAAAUCAUCAGAAUGUAUGUCUCGAU